ensembl:lncRNA
GUUUGAAAAUCACGCAGAACGCUGCCGUGAGCUGUUUGUGUUCCUGCUUUGGCUGAAGAGUGUUGACACUUCCCAAAGCCAAGAACAAAUGCUAUGAGAGGUGAAGCCAAAAAUGAUACCAAACACGAGAUGAAGGAACGGCACCCGAGCCGAAUUAAACCACGGAUAUGACAUAUUGGUGCACGGUGAUGACAUCAGACGUUGAAGACGGGUUAUUAAGGAUGCAGGAUCAUGUCAGCCAUCUGGGUUGCUUGGCCUUCUGAUGGAAAACUACGACAAAAGGUUUCCCUGUCCAAUAGGGUCCAAGAAGAAUUCCUUUAGGGUGUGAAGACUAUCAAUUUUUAAUACAUUUUAAGACAGAACACAUUUCUUCAGGCAAUUUCUAUAGUCUCUAAAGGUUCUUUGAUCCGUUCCUCUGUUGGAAACCAUAAAAGUUUUAUGUAGAAUCCUGCAACAGAGGGCUUUCUGGCAAACUGUUACGGCGUAAGCGGAAUAAAACACCCGGGAUCUGAUUUAUUUGUAAUAACAACAGUACAGCGUCAUGAUCUUAUUAUAACCUCACAUUCGAUUGAAUUAGAAAUGGAUGUAAUGCACACGAUAAGAUGGAUGUAUUCCAGAUUUUUUCUUUUUUUUUUUUUUUUAAUUAUAUGACUUUUUUCGCCCAUGAAUCCCCAAAUCCAGUCCAUCGAUAUGAGACGUCACAGUGAGUGAGAGAUGGGAUUUCCAAUUUGAAUUCGCAUGACAGUGAUGUGUUUUAUUCUCAAACACUCCAUGAUCUGACCACGUCUUUAAAAAUAAAUAAAUAAAUAAAUCAAUCAAUAAAUGAAAACCUCGGCUCAGUGUUCACUCGCAGGAAGGAAGUGGGGCCGGAUAUCACUUCUUUUGACAGUUUUAUCCAUCAGACGUCAUGGUGUGAAUUUGUUCUGUCAGGGAAAUACCCUGCAGAUGAGAACAUAUCUGCGUAUUACUGCACAAUUAAUGUAGCUGAAAAUCCUUCCAGCUGUUAGGUGUAGAAGGAGGAAUUUGUCAGGUUGAAGUAUCGACUCAAUAAGUGAAUGUACGUUAUGACACCGAGGCUUUUUUUUUUUCUCUCUAUGUAUCGUAUUUUAUUUCUGUACUCACACCCUAAUCUCUGUCAGUUUGCAUAGCAUCUGUAGCACUCGCAAAGUUCAUUAAAGUGUCUAUAAAACUAUAACCGGAGCAAAAUCUAAAUUCGGAUUGGCUUGAUGAUGCGAUUGAAUUUACGGGAUGAAAAAUCUGACUUGUCCUCAUCAGACGACUGGCGAGUCAACGUCUCAGAUGAUUAUUUUUGAAUUCUUCUGAGAAUAAACGUCCCGAUCAAUUUCAUGCUUUCUAAAGCCUGGCAAAUUAUUUAGGAAGAAAGAAAAUCUGUGUCACGUGUCCAGGUUUUAUUCAUCCUUCGUUCUGAUACGUUUUUAAACAGGCUGUGUAAAGAAAAAUAAACCACGUAUUACAAAAAUAAAAAUAAAUAAAUAAAUAAAUAAAUGAAUAAAUAAAUAAAUAAAAAACGAAGACCAGACAAGUGGUUUGCUUCGGAUUUUUACUGAAAAGUGACAUUUCAAACAAAAGUCGAAUGAUCUGAUCUGGAUGAAAUCGUUUGAACUCAUUUAGCUUAAAGUAUAAAGCUGAGAAAGCUCAAAUCCUUGUAAGAGGUUUUUUUUUUCCAUUUUCAUUAAUAAAAUUCAUAAACUCCAAGCUGUCACGACGUGUAAUAGGAGUGCUGCGAAUCAUCCGGAUCAUUCCAAGGGCCUUCGGCUGUCCAUUUCGCUGAUCUACAGAUGAUGAACCAAUUCAGCACUGUCAACGCUUCCUCCUUUAACUUUAACAAGAAACUAUUUUAAAGUCAGCUCCAUUUUCUGCCAUGAUAAAAGAUUAAAUAGGAGCCAGUCGCUCUGUUCUGACACCAAAGAAUGACUUUUUUUUUUUUUUACUUAGGGUCCAGCUGUGAAUCAUUUCUUCCUAGAGAAAGAAAACUAAGUGCACCUACAACAUGAUUAUGUGAGCAAUAUGUAAUGAUUAUGUUUGUUUUUAAAAACUCUCACAUAUACGGACCCCUCCAAAACUAUUGGAACAGCAAGACCAGUUCAUUUGCUUUUGCGAUAGUUUUGCUGGACAUUUAGGUUUGAGAUCAAAAGAGAAGAGAGUUUAGAAUUUAAGCUUGUUUCUGGCAUUUAUAUGUAGAUGUGUUAACUGAUAGGAUGUUCCAAAAAUCUGACAGGUGUUUCUUGUUCCCCAGGUGUGUCCUGUUCGAUUGAUUGUUUAUACGAUAAACAGCUCUGAACAUCUCUUGGUUUUAUCCUUCAGUUUCAGUUGUUAAAAAGGAUAAACCAACAUGACGAUCAGAGAGCUGUCUGUAGGAGAAAAGCGAGCCAUUUUGAAGCUGAGAAAAGAGAGAAAAUCAAUCAGAGGCAUUGCAGAAACAUUGGGUAAAGCCAAUACAACAAUCUGGAAUGUCCUGAAAAAGAAAGAAUCCACCGGUGUACUGAGGAACAGACACCGAACGGGUCGGCCGAGGAAAACAACAGCAGCUGAUGAUGGAAACAUUGCAAGAGCUGUGAAGAAAAACCCAAAAUAACAACCAGUGACCUCACCAACAUCCUCCACAGCGCAGGGUGAAGGUCUCACAGUCCACCGUUUGAAGAAGUUUUCGAGAGCAGAAAUAUUGAGGUCGUACCACAAGAUAUAAACCACUCAUCAGCAGUAAGAAUCAGAAAUCCAGACUGGAAUUCACAAAGAAAUACAGAGAUGAUCCACAAAAGUUCUGGAACAAGAUGAACCUCUACCAAAGCGAUGGAAAGACCAAAGUGUGGAGAAAGAAAGGAUCUGCUCACGAUCCAGAACAUACGAGCUGAUCUACAAAACAGUUUGGUGUCAGUGAGUCACUGGAUUGAUGCAGAUAUUGAAAGCAAGGUGUAAAAGUGAGGGCUCGUGUUUUAACGGCGGUGGUUCAGACGCUUGUGUAGAACCCCGUCUCAGAUGCUUCUACUCAAGAAAAAUCUGGCAGUCUCAGAGGUGUGAACUGCAAGCAGUCCAUUUAAGUGCGUGAGCGACCCGACUGAAUACGGGGAACUUUCCUGACAAAAAUAUCGAGUCACCGAAUCUGAAUACAGCCUUACGUGUAGGUGAAUUUCAUCACGCUAUUUCCUGAAAUUCCGCAUGACAUCAGAUGAUAAACGUCAUAAAGUAGAUGUGAUAAAUAAGUGGUUUAAACCCGGCUUUAAAGACUAAGCAUUAUUGAGGCUUUCUGGAGGCUUUCAUCCGGCUUCCUCGAGCUGUUUGGUGGCUGUUAAAUAAAAAGGACUGUGAACCAUUUCAUUGUGUACUUUCUCAUUCUUUAAGACCCUGUGUGGUGUUUAGUGUG